CACCACUCAAGCCUCGCUUGGUAUUGGGCGUCGCGAGUCCCUCGCGCGCCUCAAAGUCUCCGGCUCGGCGGUUCGUCUCCCAGCGUUGUGGCAACUAUUUCGCAGUGGAGUUCGAGUCGCGGGGGCCGUUAAAUCUUUCAAA
rnacentral:misc_RNA from 1 species